ACAAGAGCAAGCCAAGAAAAACAAGUGUGAAGGAAGGUAUGGAGAUGAUAAACGAAUAAGCCGAAAGUCUAAAAAAUACAAGAAUAUUACACCUGCCACUGCCGCCACUACAAUAGCUUUAUUAGAUGACAGCUUAUAUAAAGAGAAGUAUACUCACAACAUAAUGUUUUAUCUUAUUAUAACCAAGCCAAGAAUUAUAUUCCCCAAUCACUCCAUCACAAUCCCCUUGUCUGUGUUUCCACUUGAACUGAAAGAGUGAAGCUUCCUCGGUAAGAAAAGAUGCAGAAGGACAUGAGAACCCCAGAAGAUCAACAUCUUCCACCAGAAGAAGUCUUUGAACAACCGGGACAAGACAAGAAUAAGAAGAAGCCAUUCGAGACAAAGCAGAAAGGAGACAGAGGCUUCAUUGAAGGAUGUCUCUUUGCACUAUGCUGCUGCUGGAUUUGUGAGAUGUGUUUCUAAGACAAAAAAAGAUGAAUACAGUGUGUCAAGCUUCCUUAUGUUAUCUAUUACUAUUAGUGGCUUUUAAUAUAGCAGCUCAAUCUGAACUUUCUUGUACUAUCUGUGUGGUGUUUGUAUGUAUUAAACAGAGAUUAUUAUUAUGCUUAAUAAUGUAAAGGUCAUGAUCAUAUUUUCUGACGA